AGUGAACGCUGGCGGUAGGCCUAACACAUGCAAGUCGAACGGCAGCACAGUAAGAGCUUGCUCUUACGGGUGGCGAGUGGCGGACGGGUGAGGAAUACAUCGGAAUCUACUUUUUCGUGGGGGAUAACGUAGGGAAACUUACGCUAAUACCGCAUACGACCUACGGGUGAAAGCAGGGGAUCUUCGGACCUUGCGCGAUUGAAUGAGCCGAUGUGGGAUUAGCUAGUUGGGGGGGUAAAGGCCCACCAAGGCGACGAUCCGUAGCUGGUCUGAGAGAAUGAUCAGCGACACUGGAACUGAGACACGGUCCAGGCUCCUACGAGAGGCAGCAGUGGGGAAUAUUAGACAAUGGGGGCGAGCCUGAUCCAGCCAUACCGCGUGGGUGAAGAAGGCCUUCGGGUUGUAAAGCCCUUUUGUUGGGAAAGAAAAGCAGCAGGUUAAUACCCCGCUGUUCUGACGGUACCCAAAGAAUAAGCACCGGCUAACUUCGUG
rnacentral:rRNA from 1 species